ACCUAAUCGUUGGACUGCGGGAGAUACUGCCGGACUAGGGGGCGGGAGAAGCCGAUGGUAUCUCGGGGUAGGGGUGAAAUCCUGUAAUCCCGGGAGGACCACCAGUGGCGAAGGCGGUCGGCUAGAACGCGCUCGACGGUGAGGGACGAAAGCUGGGGGAGCGAACCGGAUUAGAUACCCGGGUAGUCCCAGCUGUAAACGAUGCGGGCUAGGUGUUGGGGGGGCUACGAGCCUCUUCAGUGCCGCAGCGAAGGCAUUAAGUCCGCCGCCUGGGGAGUACGGCCGCAAGGCUGAAACUUAAAGGAAUUGGCGGGGGAGCACCACAAGGGGUGAAGCUUGCGGUUUAAUUGGAGUCAACGCCGGGAACCUUACCGGGGGCGACAGCAGGAUGAAGGCCAGAUUGAAGGUCUUGCCAGACAAGCUGAGAGGAGGUGCAUGGCCGUCGCCAGUUCGUGCCGUGAGGUGUCCUGUUAAGUCAGGCAACGAUCGAGACCCGCGCCCCCUGUUGCCAGCGGAUCCCGUUGGGAUGCUGGGCACACUGGGGGGACUGCCGCCGACAAGGUGGAGGAGGGAGCGGGCCACGGCAGGUCAGUAUGCCCCGAAUCCCCCGGGCCACACGCGAGCUGCAAUGGCCGGGACAGUGGGUUUCAACCCCGAGAGGGGGAGGUAAUCCCGAAACCCGGCCUCAGUUGGGAUCGAGGGCUGCAACCCGC
rnacentral:rRNA from 1 species